AAAGUCUUUCUAUGACAUAAAAACCACCAACAAGACUUCUAGGAUUUACAAAAUAGAAAUUAGAAAAGCCACAAUAUUGAACUGUCUUCUUGACAAAAGUAGCAGAAUUAUUAGCUUCUAAUAAACAAAUUACAUCUGGGGAAUGGAAACCAUUGAUUCCUUUGAGGUGAUGAAUUGUCAGGGGAUUCCCCAUACCCUGACAAUUCUAAGAGAUUAGCUUCAUUUGGAAGGUGGGGGCCAUUUAAGGCUGCCUUCCUCCACCUUGUCAGAUUGUGGGAAUGAAGAGCAGGUUCUUUUUGUUUCAAUGUCUUGCUGGGGAUCUCCCUUCCUCUUCCCUGCAUUGUCCUCCUCCUCCUCUUGCUGUGUCAAUUAUGUAAUGACCACUCCAGAAGCCGGACUUGCUUUUGUUCUAUGUUUGAUUGUUGGACGAUCAUUGGCAUUAUAUUCUUGCUCAUUUUGUAUUUGAUUGUCAAUGCCCGGUUGUUCAGUGCUUGGUUCAUUUUCCAUUGGUUCAUAGUGAGCUUCUUGUUCUUUCAAAUUUGGUUUGAAAAUAGCCACUACAAUCCUGACUAAAUGAUCUAGAGUUAUUAGCUCAUAUGACUCUAUUGGGUUGAUUGGCCUUUAGGUAUGAGUCAAUGAACUGGCUUCAGUUAUUUCAAAUUGGGUUCGUAGCUUUGAAGAAGUUUUUUGGGUCAAUAAGUGGGUAUCAGUUUCGGAAAGAAUAGGUUCUUGUUGGUUAUUUGGCUUUUGUGAAUGUGACUAUGUUCUUGGUUUUAGGCUGAAAAUUCAGAGCCUUGUGGAUAAGAAGUAAAUUCCAUAGAUUUUGGUAAAUGAUGUUCUGUGUUUGGUCUAUGAAAGUGGGUUUUGGGAUUUUUACUCAGUUUUGACGGCAGAUGAGUAGAGGAUUGAGGAGAAUUAAUUUUCUCAGUUGCUACCGAUAUGAAGUACUGACUGAGGGAAAUCUUUAAAAAAUUUCUGAGAAUUAACCCCUUUAUGGCCAAUAAAGGAAAGAAAAUCUGAGCAAAGUUGUGGCAGCUGUUGUGGGUUGACUUGUUCUUGGCUCAAGGAGGGGGUUCUUCUUUCGAUGAUUCAUCAAAAUGGUAAGUUUCUGUAACCCUUUUCCCUUUCUCCAAAAUAGAACCAAAAAAGGAUAUGCCUUUCUGUUGGAGAUAGUGAGGUUUGGUAAUGGUGGUAUUGCUAGGCGGUUUUGUUUUCUGGUAUUCAAGAGAACGGCUUUAAAUUACUAGAGGGUGAAAUGGUGGUUUUGGAAGUAGGGGAGGGAGUGGUGGUAAAGUCCGAGGUAUCAAAUUAGGACUUGAAUUUAGAAUUGGUUGUCCAGGAGAGGUGGAAUGUGUGCAAUUGAGAGUAGAGCUUACUUUUGGGUUUUUAGUGAUUGAUUUGAUGUUGGAACGAGAUGAUAUGGAUGUUGGUGAGAGUAAAUGGAGAAUGGAAUUGGUGUUUUGAAGUGGUUUGUUUCAGUUGGCAGUAUGUACAGGGUUGGCUUUGGGCCAUGGCCAAAAAGGGUGACAAGAACAUUCCCUUCUCUUCUGCAGGACAAUCUUUUUGUAUAUGCCCAAUUAAUCCACAAUGAAAACAGAGAUCAGGUAGUUUUUCAUACCUGAGAUUGAUCCAAUAAAAAGAUCCGUCUGCCCCAAAAUCUUAAAACAAUUAGUUUGUACAAAGGUAUCACUGCUCUGAUUCGAAAAAGGUAGAGAAGGCUGACUUGUCAUCAAAAGUAAGGUCUACUUCUUGGAAUAUUCCCACCAGGUUACCAAUCAU
rnacentral:misc_RNA from 1 species